CAAGAAAGACUAUUUAGUGAAGUAGGCUAAUGGUGUUGCAGAGGAAGGGGGCUGAUUUUCACAUCUCAGAACUGUUAAGCCUGCAAAUAUUACUGAAAUCACAUCUGGGAACAAAGCUCUGCUUUAACCAGCACAAAGAGAGGUGCUGCAUCCUGGAGCACGGGCACAAGCAUCUGAGCACCAGAACUGCCAACAUCUGUCUCUGGAUUUCACAGCAAGGAAUGAGAGAAGAAGAAAUCUUCCCUAUCAGCGGCAGCAGGGGUUGCUGCAGCAAGAUGAUAAUUCCCUCCUGCUACUCUGCUGACAAGCACCAAGCUGCACAGGAAGAGCAAAGCAUUUUAAUCACGGGAUUGAAAAAUGCAGCAGUUCCUAAAGCUUCACCUUACCUUGGCUGAUUUACAUUAAUUUAGGAUCAACUGGCUUUCAGAGGAAUAAUCCAUGGAAGAUAACAGAGGAGAAAAAAAUUUGUUGGAACUUCUAGUUUCCCUGUGCAUAACAUGCAAGGAUCUAUGUAUAUAAACAGUUUUGGAGCAUCUUAGAUGAGCAAGGAUUAUUGAAUUCCUUAAAAUCACAGUGCAAAGUUGGGGGCUCCCUAAUUCCAUACUAAGUGUUUUUUAAGUGCCACACUUUCAAAUACACAGCAUUAAAGGGAUAAAAAAAACCACAUCAGAAACUGGAUUCAGGGUCCAAUCCAGUGUCCACUGGAACCACCAAAAAUCCUGUGACAGAGGCCUUGAGGUUUUGGCUCUGGCUCUUUGAUCAGAUUAUCAUUUAUAACAAAGGCAAUCCAUAAGGAGCUGCUAAGACAAAUGCAAAUCUUGUGUCAAAGACAGUCAGACACCCCCCCCCAAAAUUGAAAAUUUGAGCACACAGCAGCUUCCAGGCAGCAGCUUUGGGCAUGUGGCACAACAUCUGCUGCAAAAACACUCGAAAGCAGACCUGCGGCAAGCUGGAGCGGCGCCAGCUCCCAGAUUAUCCCCCCUCCAAGGCUGCCAAGGCAAUGGACAGAUGGCAGCCAGUGCACUCACAGGAUAGUUAGCUCAGUUAACAAUCAAGUAUGCUAAAUGAUUUCAGAUUCACUCUGCACCAAGCAUUGUACUUUCCAGUGAACCAUUAACACUGUGUCCUAAUAGAAAUAUGGUUUGGUAUGAAGGAACUGGCAGAUCCUGUAUUUUACAAGACAGUUUCUCUGGAACAAUUUGUCAGGGAACAUUAGAUCUGCCUUCAUGAAUAAAGUGAGAAUCUGCCAAGUUUGCCAGGCGGGUUUGUUCAUCAUUUGAAUUCUGCAGGGUUUGAGGAGUGAGGAUGGAAACAAACAGGAGGAUGCAGGUCAGUUAUCCACACAAGCUGCUGCCAGGGAUGCACUCAGUGGAAAGCAGGAGGGUGUUGGGAGCACACAGGAUCUCCCAUCACAGCAGCUGUGCCCCUGCAGUGCUGCCUGCCUGCUGUAGGGCAUAACAGAGUUCUCCUGCACUGGACAGCUAUCACAAGCAGCCUGCUGGUGACACACUUGUCAGCCGAGUGCACAGAUGUGACAACUCAUCCCAGAAAAGCUACAGGUUCUUGGGUUUAAAUGGGUAAAAUCUGUAAAGAAAAUUUGGGCCCCAUAUAUCAAGGGGGCAAAUAAUUGACUACUGAGCACUAGCACCUAGCAUAUAGGUGGACUAUGGCCUCAGCAUUACAAGAUACAUCCUUAAAUUCUUCCUCCUUAUGGUUAGAUAUCAUUGCCUUUAAGGACAUUUGUAGACCUAGUGACAAAUUUAUUCUAUUGAUUUGCCUUUCCAUAAAUCAGGAGGUCAAGAAUAGUGUUUGAAAAAAAAAAAUGUUGGUUUCUUCUCCCACCUCCACCCUCUGCUCCUGUUGCACAUCCCUUUUAUCUCUCCACCCAAAAUCCCAUGUAGCUAAACAGCUGGUCAAAAGUGUAAUACAAUUUAUUUAUUAUGUAGUUGGCUGCCAUUACCGUUUUAUUCAUCAUUGUUGCACCUAAUAAUUACCCUGAGAAAAUACACACCACCAGCCCUUUUCUGCCUGCAUUGGAAAAAUCCAACAGCAGAAAGCAGGGGAGAAACCCAAGAAAAACAAGUAGAAAAAUAGAAGGACAGAGAAGAGAGAGAACUUAGUGAGCUCUGUUGGAGGAGGUAGGAGUUGUGCCAUGGAUACCAGAAAAGCAGCACCUCACACUUCUUAUCUGUUAUCUCAGUUGCAAAGAGUAGGACUGAAGCAAACUGGAAAACCUGAAGCACUUCUAGUGGGCAGCCAACAAAUGAGUUCCCCACACAGUCAGGUGAGAGCAGCAGCUUCUGACCAGUGCAGUGAAGCCUUGUGCUUUGGACUCGGAGCUCUCCCAGGGCACAGAGCUCGUUCUGCUGCAGCUGCUGAGCCCAGAGCAGCUGCAUGGCAUGGUGCAGGGCUGCAGGAACCCCCAACAAUGCUGGGCCUGCUUUGCUGAAUGAGAGGGCAUCACACAGGGGCUCAUCUCUGCCCAGAGCAGCUGCAUUGCAUGGUGCAGGGCUGCAGGAACCCCUUGCUCAGUGAAAGGGCAUCACAAGCUCUGCCCACUCUCCCUUUCUGCUCUGACACCAGUUUCCCUCAGAGACAUUCACAGGGCAUUGCCAAAGUCAUACCAGCAAAAUCAGCACCAGCAGGCAAGAACUCCUAUUCCCUGCUCUCCCCAUUCCAACAUGGAAAGGUGUCACAGAAAUAUCAGAGCAAGAGCUCUGCCAGAGCAUGGAGCUCCUCAGCUGUCCUCCCUGCAGCUCUGCUCUCUCUUGAGGAGGCAAUGUUGUGACCCCAGUGUGUGAUCACCAGAGCAGGGAGUCAGAGAUGCAAUUAAAAAAAAAAAAAAAAUCAAGAGCAAACCGGUUAAAAAUGGAGACAGAAGCAACCUCAUUUUCUGGCUCAACUUUAUGAAAAUCUGAUUAGACCUCAGUGAAAUUUAAUCUUUGCCUUCCAGACCUUCUGAGACAACAAUAAAGAUCUCCUGAGCUCAUAAAGUACCCAGAGAGGAGAGAUACCACCCAGCCAGGAAAAUAGCUGAAAAAAAUUAUUUUUCUUGCCCUAAUCACCAGGUAAAUCUGCAAAAAAUGUCAUUAAAAAGUAAAUUAUAAAAAGCUGCGUGUCACUAUUUUCAAAUACAAGAAUACACUUUAUCAAAGUAAUAAAAUAAUAUGAAAAAGACAAGACAAAUUAGCUACAGCAAUAAUCAGGAAUGCCAGACAUUCAGAAGAGAGUAUUUGUUCAAAUUGCUAAGAUAGCCAAGAGACAGAAAAAUUUGACUCCCAGCAGUCCCACAGUGCUAAUAUUUCUUUCUCCUUUUUUCCUACCACAAAUUUACAGCAGAAACAAAACUACCAGAUAUAUUUUUAUAUUAUCAGCCCUUCCCCAGAACAAUUCUGCUUCAAAACCACUCAUUAAGCUGGAACUGGCAAAACCCAAAGUUCCAGCCUUCUCUUCUCAUCCAGAGGAUCCACAUUUCUCCAUGUCCUUGUAACAGCUGUUCCUACGUUGCCUCAUGAGACAAAGAAAUAUGGGAAUUUUUUUGACUUUCCUCGAAACAUUUUUACUUUCAUGGACAGAUAAUACAUGGAGCCAUUAGCCCCCAGGGGUCUCACAGCCAAACCUUUCCUGCUUGGGGCUGCUGAGCCCACCACAAGCCAUGUUUUGCUGGCACAGUGUAACAUCAAUGUUGUAGGAUUUUAUGGUUUAUCUGGAUUCUUGCAAUGCUCUGCUCACAGUCCAACAAGAUCAGCUUUUUCAGCUUGCAGGAAAGAAAGCAAGCAAUUCUUACCAAAGUACAGCAGUCUGGGAAAUGAAAACAGAAAGGGAAAAACCAGACAUGAAUGGGUGGUAAAAUUGUAUUUGCAAUCUUCUCCUCUAAUGAUGUAGUGCAGCAGCCAUCUCCAACCAACUCAUCAUAAUACCACACAGAGUGAUAUGUGCAGGAAAUGUUAAAUAUUAAAGAAACAAACAGAUGCUAAAAAAAUCCUAAACUAUGGGGCGUGCAGAGCCAAAAUAAUUGGGAUAAUGUGCAUGUACUGAGUUAAAAACUAGAGGAUGGUAGAUUAUAUAUACAUGUGUGUGUGUGUAUAUAUAUCUAUCAAUCAUCUAGGAACUCAAUUUAAUUUUUGCAUGCACUGAUUCCCCCAUGUCCUUAUUGUUGCUUAUAGAAUCCUUCCCUUACUAAUUCCAUGUCUCAUACAGUCAUGCAACAAAAACAUGGUUACGUUGUAUAUAGUUACCCAGCAGAAUGUCUGUGGAAUAAAGUUUGCUGAUUAAAAUCCUAUUUUAAUCAUGCAAUUAAAAAGUCUACAGUAA